GGUGGAAGCAUUGCUUUUGCAGUUAUUCUUGUUAUUGUUGUUACAGCUAUAAGUGAUUAUAAGCAGUCUCUUCAGUUUCGGGACCUAAAUGAGGAGAAGAGAAACAUUCGUUUGGAGGUAAUUAGAGGAGGUAGAAGAGUUGAG